rnacentral:tRNA from 1 species
GAGUGUGUAGCUCAGAGGUGGAGUGCAUGCUUAGCAUGUGUGAGGAUCUGGGUUCGGUCCCCAGCACCUUCC